GUAGGUGGCAAGCGUUGUCCGGAAUUAUUGGGCGUAAAGCGCGCGCAUGCGGGUCCUUUAAGUCUGAUGUGAAAGCCCACGGGCUCAACCGUGAGGGUCAUUGGAAACUGGGGGACUUGAGUACAGAAGAGGAAAGCGGAAUUCCAAGUGUAGCGGUGAAAUGCGUAGAGAUUUGGAGGAACACCAGUGGCGAAGGCGGCUUUCUGGUCUGUAACUGACGCUGAGGCGCGAAAGCGUGGGGAGCAAACAGGAUUAGAUACCCUGGUAGUCCACGCCUUAAACGAUGAGUGCUAAGUGUUAGGGGGUUUCCGCCCCUUAGUGCUGCAGCUAACGCAUUAAGCACUCCGCCUGGGGAGUACGGCCGCAAAGGCUG
rnacentral:rRNA from 1 species